UCUAUGUGGAUGCUGAUAAAGUGAGCAGAAAAUGUCCACCAUAGCCUUCUCCCUCUAGAUGUUUACAGCCUGAAGACUGCUACCCUACAGACUAGCUAACCUGCCUCCUUAAUCUAACUAUAUACCAGAAACCUCCCUGGUUCAGCCGUAAACAAUAAUCCUGCCUCCAGUCCAACUAUGUAUAAUAGACCCACUGAGUUUCCUGGGUGCUGUGGCUUCUCCAUUGGAGAGCCUAGUCAGCUCAAAUCCAGAUCUUCUGUGUCUAUGUUUGUCUUUUUUUUUCCACCCCUUCAGUUCCCCUAUAAGAGCUGACCCUGGACCUGUGCAGGAUGAAACAGACAAAAAUACAUCUCCUACUUUAGGAGGCAUCCCCAGAGUAGGCUGGACCUGAAAGGUGUUCUUGUCUCUGAUGGAAAAUCACUGCAGGCCAAUUUGCAUUUGGAAGAUCGGAGCAUCAGGAUUUGAAGGAAGUUGUAUAAAUUUGUCUGCACUGGUACUCACAUGGAAGAAUAUGCUUAUUGCUCUAAUCUGGCACAAAAGAGAGUUACUCUGACUUAAUAAAUUGCUUCAACUG
rnacentral:lncRNA from 1 species